rnacentral:tRNA from 1 species
GCUGGUGUGGUGUAGUGGUUUGAGCACUGGACUAUAACUCUGGAGACCAGGGUUCGAAUCCCUGCUUGGCCA